UACAGAGGGUGCAAGCGUUAAUCGGAAUUACUGGGCGUAAAGCGUGCGUAGACGGUUACAUAAGUCGGGUGUGAAAGCCCCGGGCUCAACCUGGGAAUUGCAUUCGAGACUGCGUAGCUAGGGUACGGUAGAGGGAAGCGGAAUUUCCGGUGUAGCGGUGAAAUGCGUAGAUAUCGGAAGGAACACCAGUGGCGAAAAGCGGCUUCCUGGACCAGUUCUGACGCUGAGG
rnacentral:rRNA from 1 species